GCAGAUUACGUGCACCGACCACGCAGAAGACAUCAUCCAGCUGCGUGAAGAGCCACACACAGUCUAUGGGACCCCCUGGGAUCUCCAUCCCCAUCGGGGUUAUACAAGGGGAAAAUCGCUGUGUGGGAAAAGCACAAAAUUGAGAGUCAAACCCACUAGGACCGGAUUAUAUUUCUGCUACCCACCAGCUGCGCAGUCUUAGCUGAAGAUCAGUUAAACCGUCAGGGAAGACGGGCCUUUAGGUGGUCGGGGCCAGUGAAAGAGACUUGGGAGAUCUGAGCAAGAAACAGUCUUUUGCAAGAGACAAAAAGGAAGUAAAGCCCAAUUUCGCUGAAGGUGAACGGUCUCCGGAUGUGUGACUCUCCACUUCUCACCCUGAUUAUUGAAACCUGCAAUGCGUGAAGCUUCAGUUCCAGGAGAGCUGGAAACACUCCCUGAUCGUCUCUGUACCCAAAGUGCCUGCCUGGUACACAGUAGCAGCCUG